rnacentral:lncRNA from 1 species
UGCAGGUGUUGGCACCACACCGCAUGACUGCGUUGGCCUUGUCAAUGCGGCGCUGCUGACAUAGUGAGCCCAAAUUUGCCAAGGCAACCCCUGUCAGAACAGCAACCCGGUGAGCGGGGCUGUGCAGGGGAUGGCAGAGCAGGGAAGCAGGGCAGGAGGCUGCUCCUUUCAUCCUUCUUCUCUGCCUUGCAGAUUGACAGCCCAACACCAAUGGAAACAGAUGUCCACCAGGUCCUGAGCUCCAUUUGACAAACUGGACAGACGGACUUCUGGACACACACUGUACUAGACCAGUGCAUCCUCUACCAAUCACCGUGUCUACACAUGGACAAUGCUCCGACUGAAGAACAGUGAAUGCACACACCCUGCUCUGCAGCAUAUCGUGUUCCUACAGGUGUCUCGCUCCAAUUUAUAGGAGGGAGAGGAGGUUCUUUGAAAUAUGUAUGCCCGGCGUGAGAUUAAGAAACAACGGUUCAAAUGUUGGUCCGACCAGUUUAUUACAAAUGUUAAUGAGGGAGAUGGGGAAAGGGGAGGACGGACGCUAUUAAGGAUUGGGGUGAUGGGGAAGGGAAGGCGAGCGAUAGAAAAGAUAGAAAGAGGCAAGAAUUGCGUAAAGCGGGGAUAGUCACCACCAGGAUCCGGCAGCAGUCCCGUUGCACGAUGUUCCGACAGUCCGAGGCCGAAGGGCAGGAGCAGCGGGGCCGGUCUUGGGCAAUGAGAGGAUGCAGGUCGGGGAGGAAGCAGCAGGUCUCAGGUAGCAGGCCCAUGGAAGUCCGUCAACAAACGGUCCGUAGAGAAGGAUCGGAAGGCAGGAAGCUCGUGUCGUGGUGAGAGAUCAGUCUCCACGUAGAGAUCCGUCUCCACGUUGCGGUGAAGGAUCAGAUGGCAGAGAGCCCCUCAAGUCUGUCGUAAUGAGUGAUAAGCCUCUGCCGUUGCCGUGGUUGUGGUGAAGGAUCAGCUUCUACCGUUGUGGUUAUUGGACCCUCUUUUAUUCUCCAUUUUCUGCUGCCUACGUGACAUUCCUGGGUGCUUGAGCAAGAGUCCUGUGCAUACCUCCUGAGAUGGCCAUUUUCCUUGAGAUAAGUCCACACAAAAAGACUGCUUCCCGGCCAUUAGCAGCAGCUUAUCUCUCUCUCGAUGCCCCUGGCCUUGUCCAUCUGUGCUCCUUAGAGGAUUUCACAAUCCUUAGCCAGGACCUGUCCAUCAGUGUCCUCAAAACAAAAGAUUUCUCUGCCUUUGCCCAGGACUUGCCUGGACUUGUUCCUCAGCAAACUUUGAGUCAAUUAUAUAAAAGAAUAGUCUCUUACAACAGGCAGUCUGAGGAUCCACACAGCCUGGACAGAGGUGGUUCCCCGGCACCCCCCAUGUACACACCCCUCCAAGGAUCUACACACAGUUGGAUGUUUUCCACAGACAUUGGCAGCUCCACAGCACUCACGUUUUGAUGGAGUCAGGACCUUCUAUAUGGCACACAUCAGCACCUCGAGGAACCACAGAGAUUGUGUAAAACAGAACUCUGAAAAUGCGGAUGGAACAUGAAGCUGUAUGCUUAUGGAUAGGCCCAAUUCAGAAAUACCAGAGAUGCCAUAUCCAGAAAGGGAAGGAAGCACUGUAACUAAGUGUGUUCCUACGACCGGGGCUAGAAGGUUAGGUGCAGUGAAAACUGUCAGCCUUCCUGCCUCUACCCCCAGGUGAGAAGCUAUCAAAGAAUUAAACAAAAAUUUAAAAC